rnacentral:rRNA from 1 species
GUUGAAGUUCAGGUAACACUGAAUGGAGGACCGAACCGACUUACGUUGAAAAGUGAGCGGAUGAACUGAGGGUAGCGGAGAAAUUCCAAUCGAACUUGGAGAUAGCUGGUUCUCUCCGAAAUAGCUUUAGGGCUAGCCUCAAGUGAUGAUUAUUGGAGGUAGAGCACUGUUUGGACGAGGGGCCCCUCUCGGGUUACCGAAUUCAGACAAACUCCGAAUGCCAAUCAAUUUAACUUGGGAGUCAGAACAUGGGUGAUAAGGUCCGUGUUCGAAAGGGAAACAGCCCAGACCACCAGCUAAGGUCCCAAAAUAUAUGUUAAGUGGAAAAGGAUGUGGCGUUGCCCAGACAACUAGGAUGUUGGCUUAGAAGCAGCCAUCAUUUAAAGAGUGCGUAAUAGCUCACUAGUCGAGUGACACUGCGCCGAAAAUGUACCGGGGCUAAACAUAUUACCGAAGCUGUGGAUUGUCCUUCGGACAAUGGUAGGAGAGCGUUCUAAGGGCGUUGAAGCAUGAUCGCAAGGACAUGUGGAGCGCUUAGAAGUGAGAAUGCCGGUGUGAGUAGCGAAAGACGGGUGAGAAUCCCGUCCACCGAUUGACUAAGGUUUCCAGAGGAAGGCUCGUCCGCUCUGGGUUAGUCGGGUCCUAAGCUGAGGCCGACAGGCGUAGGCGAUGGAUAACAGGUUGAUAUUCCUGUACCACCUAGUAUCGUUUUAAUCGAUGGGGGGACGCAGUAGGAUAGGCGAAGCGUGCUGUUGGAGUGCACGUCCAAGCAGUAAGGCUGAGUGUUAGGCAAAUCCGGCACUCGUUAGGCUGAGCUGUGAUGGGGAGAGGAAAUUGUUUCCUCGAGUCGUUGAUUUCACACUGCCGAGAAAAGCCUCUAGAUAGAUAACAGGUGCCCGUACCGCAAACCGACACAGGUAGUCAAGAUGAGAAUUCUAAGGUGAGCGAGCGAACUCUCGUUAAGGAACUCGGCAAAAUGACCCCGUAACUUCGGGAGAAGGGGUGCUCUUUAGGGUUCACGCCCAGAAGAGCCGCAGUGAAUAGGCCCAAGCGACUGUUUAUCAAAAACACAGGUCUCUGCUAAACCGUAAGGUGAUGUAUAGGGGCUGACGCCUGCCCGGUGCUGGAAGGUUAAGAGGAGUGGUUAGCUUCUGCGAAGCCACGAAUCGAAGCCCCAGUAAACGGCGGCCGUAACUAUAA